UACGUAGGGACCAAGCGUUGUUCGGAUUUACUGGGCGUAAAGGGCGCGUAGGCGGCAAUUCAAGUCAUCUGUGAAAUCUCCGGGCUUAACUCGGAAUGGUCAGGUGAUACUGCUUUGCUAGAGUGCAGAAGGGGCAAUCGGAGUUCUUGGUGUAGCGGUGAAAUGCGUAGAUAUCAAGAGGAACACCUGAGGUGAAGACGGGUUGCUGGGCUGACACUGACGCUGAGGCGCGAAAGCUAGGGGAGCAAACGGG
rnacentral:rRNA from 1 species